rnacentral:rRNA from 1 species
UGUAGUCAUAUGCUUGUCUCAAAGAUUAAGCCGUGCAUGUCUAAGUAUAAGCAAUUAUACCGUGAAACUGCGAAUGGCUCAUUAAAUCAGUUAUCGUUUAUUUGAUAGUACCUUACCACUUGGAUAACCGUGGUAAUUCUAGAGCUAAUACAUGCUGAAAACCCCGACUUCGGAAGGGGUGUAUUUAUUAGAUAAAAAACCAAUGCCCUUCGGGGCUCUUUGGUGAUUCAUGAUAACUUUUCAGAUCGCAUGGCCUUGCGCCGGCGACGGUUCAUUCAAAUUUCUGCCCUAUCAACUUUCGAUGGUAAGGUAUUGGCUUACCAUGGUUUCAACGGGUAACGGGGAAUGGGGCGGGGGCGGCGGGCCGGGCGCGGGGCGCGGCGGGCG